rnacentral:rRNA from 1 species
UACGGAGGAUCCGAGCGUUAUCCGGAUUUAUUGGGUUUAAAGGGAGCGUAGGCGGAUGCUUAAGUCAGUUGUGAAAGUUUGCGGCUCAACCGUAAAAUUGCAGUUGAUACUGGGCGUCUUGAGUACAGUAGAGGCAGGCGGAAUUCGUGGUGUAGCGGUGAAAUGCUUAGAUAUCACGAAGAACUCCGAUUGCGAAGGCAGCCUGCUGGACUGUCACUGACGCUGAUGCUCGAAAGUGUGGGUAUCAAACAGG